rnacentral:tRNA from 1 species
GGUGGCUCAGUAGUAGAGUUCUUGCCUUGCAUGCAGGAGGCCCUGGGUUCCAUUCCUCAGCACCA